UUGAAACAUUGCAAAGAUUGGUUGAGCUGGCUCUUCAAGGGCAAGUGCUCGCCUUUCUUUCAAUCUUCAUCCACCUGUGCACUUUUUGUAGAGAGGACUGAGAACGUGCCUUGUAACAGAGGCACAAGUAUUGGGCUUCUCUAUGUUUUACACACUCAUAAUGUAUGUCUUUGAAUGUCUUUUACAGGGACUUAACUGGCCCUUUAAAAACAAUA
rnacentral:misc_RNA from 1 species